AUUGAACGCUGGCGGCAGGCCUAACACAUGCAAGUCGAACGGUAGCACAGAGAGCUUGCUCUCGGGUGACGAGUGGCGGACGGGUGAGUAACGUCUGGGAAACUGCCCGAUGGAGGGGGAUAACUACUGGAAACGGUAGCUAAUACCGCAUAACGUCGCAAGACCAAAGUGGGGGACCUUCGGGCCUCACACCAUCGGAUGUGCCCAGAUGGGAUUAGCUAGUAGGUGGGGUAAUGGCUCACCUAGGCGACGAUCCCUAGCUGGUCUGAGAGGAUGAGCGGGCACGCUGGAACUGAGACACGGUCCAGACGCCUACGGGAGGCAGCAGUGGGGAAUAUUGCACAAUGGGCGCAAGCCUGAUGCAGCCAUGCCGCGUGUAUGAAGAAGGCCUUCGGGUUGUAAAGUACUUUCAGCGGGGAGGAAGGCGGUGAAGUUAAUAACUUCACCGAUUGACGUUACCCGCAGAAGAAGCACCGGCUAACUCCGUGCCAGCCGCCGCGGUAA
rnacentral:rRNA from 1 species